UGUUGCUUUUAAGCUGCAAAGAAAGUAUGUUAUUCUACUCAGUUUCACCCAUUCUAACCCCACAAUUUAUAUUGAAAUUAGGAACCAGUUAUCGCUAACUUUGCAGCCCCCGCAUGAGAAAUGACUCAGAACAAUAGGAAUCAAGGUGUUGGAGU